rnacentral:rRNA from 1 species
UACGAGGGAGGCAAGUGUUGUUCGGCGUGACUGGGCGUAAAGGGCAUGUAGGCUGUUUUUUGUCUACCGGUGGUGAAAAAGCUGUGCGAAAUCAUAGAAACAUACUCUGGACCCUAAAACUAGAGUUAUUCUCAGGUUUCUCAGGACAAUAAGUUGAGGGCUUAAAUCCGUCGAAUCAAGUUGGACUUCAAAAUGGUGGAUACAAGGUGCUGGAGAUAACUGACGCUGAGGUGCGAAGGCAUGGGUGGCGAAUGGG